CCCACUGCCUCUGCCUUUGCCUCAUCCACUCCGUUCGCUCCACCACUCCCAUUCCUUCUCCCGCAGCAGUCUCCUCCAUUACGCCGCCACUCAUCUCUGUCGUUCCAUGGCCAUAACCACCAACAACAAUUCCGCCUCCUCCCCCGUAGCCGCCGGCGAGCCUAUUUCCCCAGCCACCACGCGUCUGGGCUGGAUCGGUACAGGCGUCAUGGGCCGGUCUUGUGGAAAUGGGAAGCUGAAUCCUGCGCUUUAGCUGGUACUGGUACACCAGGCCUCUUGCAAUUGCAGGGUGCCAUACAAGAAUUUGCGAGCUUUGGACUCAAUCGCGUAAACCCCAAAUUGAGAGGACUCUGCCAGGCGAGGCGAUUCAGGAUUCAUGGCGGGUGACUCAGUCUCAUCCCCCUCUCCUAGCAAAGUCCUCGAACCCCAAACCCUAGCCCUACCCUGGUCUUCCACGCCUUUCUUCAAAGGCAAAGACAAGUUCCAAGAACCCAAAGAUCAUCCUGUAGAAGAAGAAGAAAAAGAGGAAGAACGUGGGGAGGAAUUGAUGGAUUCAGAUCCGAAUCCACAGCUGUGACCACUACUUCUGCUUCGUCUGCAUCAUGGAGUGGGCCAAGGUUGAGUCUCGCUGCUCCAUGUGCAAGCGGCGCUUCUCCUCCAUUCGCAGGCCGCCCAAGGAGGGGGUGUUUGCUUGUGAACGGAUUGUCAAUGUUCCUGUUCGUGAUCAGCUGGUACAGGAUGCCUCUUUCAAUUGAAGGAUGCCAUACAAGAAUUUGCGAGCUUUGGACUCAAUUGCGCAAACCCCAAAUUCAGAGGACUCUUGUCAGGCGAGGCGAUUCAAGAUUCAUGGUGGGUGACUCAGACUCAUCUCCCUCUCCUAGCAAACUCUUCAAACCCCAAACCCUAGCCCUACCCUCGUCUUCGACGCCUUUCUCCAAAGGCAAAGACAAGUUCUAAGAAUCCAAAGACGAUCCUGUAGAAGAAGAAGAAGAAGAAGAAGACGAAGAGGAAGAACGUGGGGAAGAAUUGAUGGAUUCAGACCCGAACCAAUGUGGGGUAUGUUUAGCGGAAGAAGGGAAGACCAUUAGAGGGUGGAUCAACAGCUGUGAGUCUGUGACCACUACUUAUGCAUCGUCUGCAUCAUGGAGUGGGCCGAGGUUGAGUCUCGCUGCCCCAUGUGCAAGCGGCGCUUCUCCUCCAUUCGCAGGCCGCCCAAGGAGGGGGUGUUUGCUUGUGAACGGAUUGUCGAUGUUCCUGUUUGUGAUCAGGUGAGGAAUAUGUGGCUCUUAUUUAGAUUUUUUUUGGUAAUUUACUGUGAUUCGUUGGUU